UACGAAGGGGGGCUAGCGUUGUUCGGAAUUACUGGGCGUAAAGCGCACGUAGGCGGAUACUUAAGUCAGGGGUGAAAUCCCGGGGCUCAACCCCCGGAACUGCCUUUGAUACUGGGUAUCUCGAGUCCGGAAGAGGUGAGUGGAAUUCCGAGUGUAGAGGUGAAAUUCGUAGAUAUUCGGAGGAACACCAGUGGCGAAGGCGGCUCACUGGUCCGGUACUGACGCUGAGGUGCGAAAGCGUGGGGAGCAAACAGG
rnacentral:rRNA from 1 species